GUGUUGAAGCUCUGAUCCAGCCCUGUCAUGGUUUAGGACAGCACUGGAUUGUUUUCAUGGCAGUCUGGGAUGGAGGGAUAUUCAAGGUACCACCCCCUCAUGGAUAGUUGCAUCAGCAGAAGGAUGCUGCAUCCUUGUGUUCUUUAACUGAUGUCUAUGUCUCCCUUUUAAUCACACUGUAAUUUCAUUUUUUCCCCUAGUUUUGGCUCUGCCAAGCUUUUCUGCUUCCCUCUGAAGACAGGAGUCUCAGCAGGUCUCAGCCUCCUGUUGCUGUAGCAGCAAACAGCAUCUGAUUUUCCUUCUGGCUUUGAAUAUUCUCCUUGUUGUCUUGGAAGCAUCUUGCUUUGGAAUCACCAUUCCAUUCCCCUUCACAGCCCACCUAUUCUGGAAGGUGUGCUGGAGGAGGAAAAGGAAGAGGAAAAGAUCUGAUUGCUGUGGAGCACAUUCCCCAUGCAUGGCAUCAUCCAGAAUGAAGCUGGAAAGGCCUUUUCCUGGUGCAUUUAGAAAGUCACAGGCAUGUUUAGUUUUGGGAGCAGUCAUGCACUUGGCAGUAAGAACAGCAGAUAUGGAUCCUGGAGCAAGGGAAGCUGCGUGGCUGUUGGAUGGGAUCUGCCAGCUGAGUCACACGAGGCACAUCUGACUCAUCACACCAGAGCUGCAUCUGCAGAUGGCCCAGGAUUGCAGGAACUUGGGCAAGGCUGAUUAUCUCCUGCAAAACCUGGGGAGACUGAGGCGUGGAAGGUGAGUUUGGGGCACAGUCAGAGCCAGGCUGGUGUGUGCUGCU
rnacentral:lncRNA from 1 species